AAAAGGCAACAUUAUCCUCGAAAGGACUACAGAAAUGAAAAAAAAUACUCCAGAGAUGCUUAUUUGUUAUUUCAUCUUCAUUGGGGUAAAAUUGGCAGAUAGAUGAAACCAUCGUGGUCGCAGAAUCUUACCCUAGAAAUCAGCUACGCUCUUUCUUACUUUCUUUGGCUCCACAUAGUUCUUAUUUUAAGUAAUCAAAGAAAACAUGGAUGAUGGGGUGGUAGAGAUUUCAGACCAUGCUGUAGAUACAUUUGUUGAUGAAUUUCUGAAGAAUACCCGGACUUGCAGUCAAACUCACACUUGUAACCCACCUGGCCCUGAUGCUGCACAUACACAUACUUGCUACCACACCCAUACCCAAGUUCUUCCGUCGGAAGAUGAUGAUGGUGCUAAGAAUAAAGAGCAUUCCGUUCCCAGACCACAAAGAAGAAGGCCUUCCAGAAAUAGAGAAGCAGUUCGAAAGUACAGGGAGAAAAAGAAGGCGCAUACAGCUUACUUAGAAGAGGAAGUAAAGAAAUUGAGGCUGUUGAACCAGCAACUUGUUAGAAAAAUACAGGGGCAGGCAAUUCUUGAAACAUAGUUUUUAAGGCUGAGAAGCUUGUUUCUGGACCUUAGAGGAAUGAUUGAUCAUGAGUUGGGUGCUUUCCCCUUCCAAAAUCAGUGCUAGUAUCGGCACAAGCACGAAAGCAAUGGUGCCAUUAGGAGGAAAUUGUCAGCCUGCAGUAAUUGAUUGCCAAGCAAAUACAAAUGAGAUGGCUGGUGCAGUACAAAACUCUACACAUAGUAGAAACCUUGGUAUCAUUGGCAACAGAAGCUGAGUAAAUAUAGCAUUUCUUAAUGCAUGCAGUGUUCCUACUGAAUUAUUAAAUUGGGACUAGUUGAUUGAUUGUUACAACAGAGAAAGCUGAUGAUGGCUACAUUAAUUUUUUGCAACUUUUCCCCAAGAUGGAGAAAAAGAUGAAGUUAUGAGUGAACAAAACUUUUCACCUCUGUAUGUUCGUCAUUUCAGAAUCUCGAGUCAAAAUCUUUCAGUCUGCUUCAAUGGAACUGUUUCUCAUUUCAGCAUACAAACACCAUUUCCUCAUCCAAAAUGAAAAGAUGUCAUCAAACUCGUCUGGUGCCCUUUCCAUGAUGUUGCUAGUUUCCGUAAUUCUCUGAGCUCUUUAAAAUUUGUAACUUGCUUUGAAAUCUUAGAAGGUCUCAACAAGGAAUGGUAUUGCAUCAGCUUUGCCAUUAGCUUCAAUGAAGUUAUUGACGAAAGCAGAGCAUGCUUGAUGAAACUAGCUAUCUUGUGAAAGAACAAAAGGAAUAAUAGAAUAAAAGGAAAAGAGAAAAUCAUGCUUCGAAACUGUAAAUGCAAUAAGAACUAUUUUUAAUGUUACAAAAAAACA